UACAGAGGUCCCGAGCGUUGUUCGGAUUCACUGGGCGUAAAGGGUGCGUAGGUGGCAUGGUAAGUUUGAUGUGAAAGCUCAGGGCUCAACCCUGAAAUGGCAUUGAAUACUACUGUGCUGGAGGUUUGGAGGGGGGACUGGAAUUCUUGGUGUAGCAGUGAAAUGCGUAGAUAUCGGGAGGAACACCUGAGGCGAAGGCGGGCUACUGGGCCGAUACUGACGCUGAUGUGCGAAAGCCAGGGGAGCAAACAGG
rnacentral:rRNA from 1 species